rnacentral:rRNA from 1 species
UUUAAGAACAUUAAUUAUAAAGUUAUACCCCGAAAGGUUUAUCUUUUAAAUCAUUAAAAAGUAAUUAUAAAUAAUGUACCUUUUGCAUCAGGGGUUAAGAAAUAAGAUUAUUAAAUUAAUAACCUCCCGAAAGAAGCAGGAUCUUAAACUUUAUUGUUGGUUGUUGUUUCAUUAACAUUAAUAAUAAUAUUUAAGAAGCUAAAAGUUAUAACGACUCUUCUGAUCACUGGUUUGCUAUUUAGUGUUUUUAAGAAGGCAGAGAGUUAAUUGAAGUUUAAGCACUUUAUUAUUUUCUUUUAAUUAUAAAGGGACAAGCUUUUAUAACUUUAGGAAGAUCAAUUUAUAGCUUAUCUUCAUGACAAGAUAGACGUUAUUUAUCUAUUUAUAGAUCUACCUUUAGAAUAGCAUCUUUAGUGAAAUAAUUUUUAACUAUAAAAAUAAUCUUAACAUUAGUACUUCAAUAAAUCAAUUAUUAAAAGGAACUAGGCAAACAUUUAGCCGGACUGUUUAAUAAAAACAUUUCCUCUUGCAUAAAAGGGAGGUAAAGUCUGCUCGGUGUAAUUGAUUAACAGCUGCAGUAACUUGACUGUACAAAGGUAGCGUAAUCACUUGUCUUUUAAUUGAAGACUAGAAUGAACGGCUUAACCAAGCUAAUUCUGUCUCUUUUUAACCUUAAGAAAUUUAAGAUUUAAGUUAAAACGCUUAAAUUAUUUAGAGGGACGAGAAGACCCUGAAGAUUUUUAUUCUUACUUUAUUUUAAAUAAUAAUUAUAAGAAUUUAUUUGGGAUGAAUGUAAUAAACAUUAUGGUUUACUAAGACUUAAACGUCUUUAUUCUGACCCGUUUAAACGAGAAUCUGUUUAAGUUACCUCAGGGAUAACAGCGCAAUGUCUUUUAUUAGACCUUAUAAAAACAGAAGUUUGCGACCUCGAUGUUGAAUUGAGUUAAACUUUAAGUAGAAGAGUACUUAAGAGUAGGACUGUUCGUCUUUUAAUAGCUCACAUGAUUUGAGUUUAGACCGACGUGAGUCAGGUCAGAUUCUAUCUUCUAAUAUUAAGCAAUCUUUUUUGUACGAAAGGACUAAAAGAUUCGUCUUA